rnacentral:rRNA from 1 species
UACGUAGGGUGCGAGCGUUGUCCGGAAUUAUUGGGCGUAAAGGGCGCGUAGGCGGCUUGGCAAGUGGAUGGUGAAAUCCCUCGGCUUAACCGAGGAACUGCCAUCCAGACUGCUUUGCUUGAGGCCGGGAGAGGUGAGUGGAAUUCCCAGUGUAGCGGUGAAAUGCGUAGAUAUUGGGAGGAACACCGGUGGCGAAGGCGGCCAACUGGACGUGGUAUUGACGCUGAGGCGCGAAAGCGUGGGGAGCAAACAGG